GUAUUCAAAUUUGAAGGAGACAAGAGACUUUGUGAUCUCCUUCAGAGACAUGAGAAAUAGGAGAAGCAGCGAAGGUACCAAUAUUUGUCAAACAUAUAGCUUAUGAACCAGACCUUAUCAUCAGUACUGGCUCAGCCUCACCAGUCACCACCUUCAUUUGAUUUCCAUUGAAAUACAGUAGUAAGUUAACAGCAAAUAUAUCACUGUCAUCACCAAUUCAGACCAUACUGAAGAAACAUGUUAGCAGUACUUACAUAUUUCACAUGACAAAGAUAAUUUUACAUACUGAAGAAACUAGUUUAGUAUACAGUUUCUUAAGUUGAAUCUGCUGGGGGGCAGAGUAUAUUAAGAAAGAUUGUAGGAAUGUACAUUAUUCCGACACACACCCCGCAGCAGCGUCCCAGGCAAGCAACGGCCUAAUAAACAGAAAAUAACAGCUUCUAAAAACCCAACAACAGGACAGCUCAGAAGCAACUCAAGUUGCUGUGAUCAGGCCUGCGGCCAUCCAGGUUUCCCAGGCCUAAUAUACAGUUUCUUAAGGAAACAGGACAUAUUUGAAUAACACGUCAGGAACUUCAAAUCCAGAAGUUUGCCACAAUAUUUUACACUUACUUGUUCACAUGCACAGUUAACAGCUAUGACCAUCCUGUAGCUUUUCAAGGAACAUGUAUAAUAUGUAGAUAGUGUGGAAAGCACAAAGAUGAAAACCAUAGGAUAACCUUGAAGAGAAACCUGUCAACUUUGUGAUGAUCUUUCCUUCGCUGUAUAAGAGGAGCAGUGUACCUUAGAAAUCUGCGAAUGAAAACAAUGAAAAUAAGAUAUCGUUCUUAUUAAUAUACUUCAGAUAUACUUUAGAAAUACUUUGAAGUUAGAAUCCACAUCCAUUUGAUUAGCAGUGUAUAUGAGAGCUGCAUCUCUAUUCUCAUGAAUUAAAAGGUAGUAAUUUCACAAAGAACUGGAGUAACAAAAUAAGGUAUUGUUCUAACAAUAUUAGCUAGACAAUGUGGUGCAUCGCCAAGGGGAACGAACACAUGCACUGUUAAGUAUGUAAUUUUACUUUAAAAACUGAGGGUUGAUCUUCUUCAGAAGAUGGUGAUUAUAUGCAAGUCAUUCAAUUGGGGCACUAAUGGAUGACAAAAGAUGGUGGGUACACCAGAAGUUGGCAUGCUUAUGAAAGUGGUUUUCUGAAAAUCAAUGGUCUAGAGAUGCAAUGGCGUAGCUGUAGCACACAAGCAAGAACCUGACCCAAGGAUCCAGAAUUCAUUAUGUCGAGAGAAUCUAGAAAAAAAAAGAGAAAGGUGGUUAAUUGGACCUCUUCAGAUGCUAACAAUACAUAAUUUAAAUUGUUGGGAUGGCUAGUAGGAGCUAACCAACCAAUGGAAUUAAGAUAGGAGGAGCCACAUAUUUCCAACCCUUCAUUUAAUCCAGGUGAAAGGUGAGGAGAUCAGCAAGCGAACCCUGGCUGCAAUGUUCACAAUGAACGCUUGUGCCAACUGCACUAGAAUCGCAUCUCUAUAUGAGUUUAAAUUCAUAGGUAUCUCCCUGGUGAAGUAUAACAGUGAAUAGCAAAACAAUCCUUGAAUUUUUUACCAUUAACUGGCUUGUUGAUUGUACACAGAGAAUAUUUGGGACAUCUAUUCAUAUAGACAAAAGCAAGGGAAAGAGUGGCAUCGCUAAUGUCAGAGUGAGAAAAAGCUGGAAACAAAAUUCAUGUAAAUAAUAUUAGCAGGGUUUACCUCAGUACAAUAGAAUGAGGAUACAGAUUUACCCAAGAACAAUUUGGCUAGCCAAA
rnacentral:lncRNA from 1 species